rnacentral:tRNA from 1 species
GGGGCUGGGGCUCAGUGGCAGAGCGCUUGCUUAGCAUGUGUGAGGCGCUAAGUUUGAUCCUUAGUGCCACA